UACAGAGACUGCGAGCGUUAUUCGGAUUCACUGGGCGUAAAGGGUGCGCAGGCGGUUGGGUGUGUCAGAUGUGAAAUCCCGAGGCUCAACCUCGGAACUGCGUCUGAAACUACUCGACUAGAGUACUGGAGAGGGUAACGGAAUUCACGGUGUAGCAGUGAAAUGCGUAGAUAUCGUGAGGAAUACCAGAGGCGAAGGCGGCUACCUGGACAAUUGCUGACGCUCAGGCACGAAAGCGUGGGGAGCAAAAGGG
rnacentral:rRNA from 1 species